CAGACAAUACAAAUGCAGUCAUACUUGCUCAUUUUGUUUCUAAUGAUAGGGCAGGGCAGGCAAGAAAUGGUUUCGGUAAACUCCAAUAGGAUUCUCCGGCUGAUCACGAACUCAUUCAUGGGCGACUACAGAUAAAGCGAGAAAAGUCAAGCUAUUGGAUUUCGGAUUCGGCCCACAAUUACCUCGUUUAUUUGGCCCUCCCUUGAUGGUUGUGCUGCCAUUGAUUUUCACUGGUGUUUUUCAAGGAUCGCCCAUGAGUGAUGAAGACAUCGUUCCGAUCAACAUCUGGUCAUGCAGAUGCGGUUUCUUUAUAUUUUCCGCCAGAAGCCAAUCUUUAAGCUGCCAGUACCAAUGGGAUUGAUUCUUCCAAAAUGUCGAAUUCGGUUUUAACAGUGCCAUAUGCACGACCUGAAAUCAGCCGCCGAUGCAAUGCUCUUAUCAGAAUUGUUCUUAAAGCCCCAGCUAGAACGGAGAUCCUGGAAUUCAUUUGAUCAUGACAGGAGAGUGACUGCCACUUGGAAUCUGCAGCAUUAGUAUUUUCGCUACGAAGGACAUCUACAAGAUAUGGAGCAGUCUACUGCAAACGUUUUAUAAUCACCAAGCCCAAGAAGUGAUGACGACGGAAUUGGAAUUAGCAGAGCAAGAGGCCGACGAUUUUACGGCCUAUCAACAAGCUAAAAGACGGGCAAGAUAAAUGGAGAAACAGGUAAGGAAUAACGAGAAAGUCGGGAAACUCAGUUAAAUGCAACUCAAACUUAAUUAGACCUUGUGUCACAGUAGGAUUUUUGGGACUUAAGCUUCCCAAUAAAAAAAGAAUAAUUACCAAAAUGUCACAUUUGAUUUAAAUUUUACUGUAGAACUAGGAACCAUACUGAUAUUAAGUAUAGCGUACACGUAACGUUAGAACAUUAUAGGUAGUCCAGAAACGUCUUGAGCAUUGAUGGACCUCUUGGAAAUUUUUAAUUUGACUCACAUCGUGAAAGUAACCUACUGUACCUAGUUGAUU